AGAGUUUGAUCCUGGCUCAGAAUGAACGCUGGCGGCGUGCUUAACACAUGCAAGUCGUACGAGAAAGCUUCUGCUUGCAGAGGCGAGUAAAGUGGCGCACGGGUGAGUAACGCGUGGGUAAUCUACCCUUGAAUUUGGGAUAACAUUGCGAAAGCGAUGCUAAUACCGGAUGAAAUUUUUAGAUCUUUGGAUUUAAGAAUGAAAGAUGGUCUCUACAUGUAAACUAUUGUUUGAGGAUGAGCCCGCGUACCAUUAGCUAGUUGGUGAGGUAAGAGCUUACCAAGGCAACGAUGGUUAGCUGGUCUGAGAGGAUGAUCAGCCACACUGGAACUGACACACGGUCCAGACUCCUACGGGAGGCAGCAGUGAGGAAUUUUGCGCAAUGGGGGAAACCCUGACGCAGCAACGCCGCGUGAGUGAUGAAGGUUUUCGGAUCGUAAAGCUCUGUCAAAUGGGAAGAAUCUGUCUGAUACCAAUACUAUUAGGCACUGACGGUACCAUUAAAGGAAGCACCGGCUAACUCCGUGCAGCAGCCGCGGUAAUACGGGGGGUGUAAGCGUUAUUCGGAAUUAUUGGGCGUAAAGAGCGCGUAGGCGGUCUAACAAGUCAGAUGUGAAAGCCCUGGGCUCAACCCAGGAAGUGCAUUUGAAACUGUUAGACUUGAGUAUGGGAGAGGGAAGUGGAAUUCCUGGUGUAGAGGUGAAAUUUGUAGAUAUCAGGAGGAACACCGGUGGCGAAGGCGACUUCCUGGACCAAUACUGACGCUGAGGCGCGAAGGCGUGGGGAGCAAACAGGAUUAGAUACCCUGGUAGUCCACGCAGUAAACGAUGUCGACUAGCCGUUGGAUGUAUUGACCCCUGCUGCGCCGCAGCUAACGCAUUAAGUGUUCCGCCUGGGGAGUACGGUCGCAAGAUUAAAACUCAAAGGAAUUGACGGGGGCCCGCACAAGCGGUGGAGCAUGUGGUUUAAUUCGACGCAACGCGAAGAACCUUACCUGGAUUUGACAUCCCGGGAAUUCUAUGAAAGUAGAUAGUGCCCUUCGGGGAACCCGGUGACAGGUGCUGCAUGGCUGUCGUCAGCUCGUGUCGUGAGAUGUUGGGUUAAGUCCCGCAACGAGCGCAACCCCUAUCUUUAGUUGCCAGCAACUCGGUUGGGAACUCUAGAGAUACAGCCCCGGUUAACGGGGAGGAAGGUGGGGAUGACGUCAAGUCCUCAUGGCCUUUAUGUCCAGGGCUACACACGUGCUACAAUGGACUGUACAAAGAGUCGCGACCCCGCGAGGGUGAGCUAACCUCAAAAAGCAGUUCUCAGUUCGGAUUGGAGUCUGCAACUCGACUCCAUGAAGUUGGAAUCGCUAGUAAUCGUGGAUCAGCAUGCCACGGUGAAUACGUUCCCGGGCCUUGUACACACCGCCCGUCACACCAUGAGAGUUGGUUGUACCCGAAGUUGUUGGACUAACCCGCAAGGGGAGUAGGCACCUAAGGUAUGGCUGAUGAUUGGGGUGAAGUCGUAACAAGGUA
rnacentral:rRNA from 1 species